AUUGAACGCUGGCGGCGUGCUUAACACAUGCAAGUCGAUCGGUAACAGGUGUAGCAAUACAUGCUGACGAGAGGCGGACGGGUGAGUAAUGCUUGGGAAUCUGCCUAUUAGUGGGGGACAACCCGGGGAAACUCGGGCUAAUACCACAUACGCUCUACGGAGGAAAGCCGGGGACCGCAAGGCCUGGCGCUAAUAGAUGAGCCCAAGUCGGAUUAGCUAGUUGGUAGGGUAACGGCCUACCAAGGCGACAAUCCGUAGCUGGUCUGAGAGGACGACCAGCCACACCGGAACUGAGACACGGUCCGGACUCCUACGGGAGGCAGCAGUGGGGAAUAUUGGACAAUGGGGGCAACCCUGAUCCAGCGACGCCGCGUGGGUGAAGAAGGCCUGCGGGUUGUAAAGCCCUUUCGGUGGGGAAGAAAAGUCUCGACCUAAUACGUCGGGACCUUGACGUAACCCACUAAAGAAGCACCGGCUAACUCUGUGCCAGCAGCCGCAGU
rnacentral:rRNA from 1 species